GACAGAGGGUGCAAACGUUGUUCGGAAUUACUGGGCGUAAAGCGCGUGUAGGCGGCUCUGCAAGUCGGGUGUGAAAUCCCACGGCUCAACCAUGGAAGUGCACUCGAAACUGCAGGGCUAGAGUCCUGGAGAGGAAGGUGGAAUGCUUGGUGUAGAGGUGAAAUUCGUAGAUAUUAGGAAGAACACCGGUGGCGAAGGCGGCCCACUGGAUCGGUACUGACGCUGAGGUGCGAAAGCGUGGGGAGCAAACAGG
rnacentral:rRNA from 1 species